rnacentral:tRNA from 1 species
GGGGGCAUAGCUCAGCUGGGAGAGCACAGCGUUCGCAACGCUGGGGUCGUGGGUUCGAAUCCCAUUGCCUCCACCA